ACGAACGCUGGCGGCGUGGAUUAGGCAUGCAAGUCGCGCGACGGACCUUCGGGUUACGGAGCGGCGAACGGGUGAGUAACACGUGAACAAUCUGUCCUUACAUUCCGGAUAAUUAGGGGAAACCCUUUGUAAUACGGGGGAGGGUCAUUCUGGGGCAUCUCAGAGUGAAGGAAGGCGCAAGCCGUGCAAGGAGGAGUUCGCGGACUAUCAGGUAGUUGGUGGGGUAAUGGCCUACCAAGCCUACGACGGGUAGCUGGUCUGAGAGGAUGGUCAGCCACAUUGGAACUGAGACACUGUCCAGACUCCUACGGGAGGCUGCAGUCGAGAAUCUUGGGCAAUGCACGAAAGUGUGACCCAGCGACGCCGCGUGGAGGAUGAAGGCCCUUGGGUUGUAAACUCCUUUUAUGGGUGAAGAACACAAUGACAUUAGCCCAUGAAUAAGCCACGGCUAACUACGU
rnacentral:rRNA from 1 species